UACAGAGGGUGCGAGCGUUAAUCGGAAUUACUGGGCGUAAAGCGUGCGUAGACGGUUAUCUAAGUCGGGUGUGAAAGCCCCGGGCUCAACCUGGGAAUUGCAUUCGAGACUGAAUAGCUAGGGUACGGUAGAGGGAAGCGGAAUUUCCGGUGUAGCGGUGAAAUGCGUAGAUAUCGGAAGGAACAUCAGUGGCGAAAGCGACUUCCUGGACCAGUACCGACGUUCAGGCACGAAAGCGUGGGGAGCAAACAGG
rnacentral:rRNA from 1 species